GAUGAACGCUGGCGGCGUGCUUAACACAUGCAAGUCGAACGGAGUACCCCUGAAGGAGUUUUCGGACAACUGAAGGGACUACUUAGUGGCGGACGGGUGAGUAACGCGUGAGUAACCUGCCUUGGAGUGGGGAAUAACAGAUGGAAACAUCUGCUAAUACCGCAUAAUACGUCUGUGUCGCAUGGCACUGGACGUCAAAGAUUUAUCGCUCUGAGAUGGACUCGCGUCUGAUUAGCUGGUUGGCGGGGUAACGGCCCACCAAGGCGACGAUCAGUAGCCGGACUGAGAGGUUGGCCGGCCACAUUGGGACUGAGACACGGCCCAG
rnacentral:rRNA from 1 species